rnacentral:lncRNA from 1 species
UUCUCAAAGAGGCAAAGGAAAGACAUGCAAUAAAAGACGUUAAAGAUGCCAUUAUUAAAGAUUUUAGAGCCGCAGAAACUGAAAAGGAGGAAAGAAAAAAGAAGGUAGACAAACUUGAGGAAGCCAUCGAGAUAAAACUAAAGAAGAAAACCUAAAAGAGGGGACCAAACCCCUUGAGAAGGAACUACCAAAGCCCAGAGAAGAAGAGUCUAAAAGGGAGGAAAGAACCCAAGAAACGGUCCAAAGAGGAGGCAGAAGUCAAGAAACCAUCUAAAGACAAGAAAGAAGUCAAGAAAUCUCUCAAAGAAGUCAAGAAACCCCUCAAAGAAGAGAAAGAAGUCAAGAAAUCAUCUAAAGACAAGAAAGAAGUUAAGAAACCUCUCAAAGAAGUCAAGAAAUCCCUCAAGGAAGAGAAAGAAGUCAAGAAACCUCUCAAAGAAGAGAAAGAAGUCAAGAAACCUAUUAAAGAAGAGAAAGAAGUCAAGAAAUCAUCCAAAGACAAGAAAGAAGUCAAGAAACCUCUCAAAGAAGAGAAAGAAGUCAAGAAACAUCUCAAAGAAGACAAAGAAGUCAAGAAAUCUCUCAAAGAAGAGAAAGAAGUCAAGAAACAUCUCAAAGAAGACAAAGAAGUCAAGAAAUCUCUCAAAGAAGACAAAGAAGUCAAGAAACCUAUUAAAGAAGAGAAAGAAGUCAAGAAAUCAUCUAAAGACAAGAAAGAAGUCAAGAAACCUCUCAAAGAAGAGAAAGAAGUCAAGAAAUCAUCUGAAGAAGACACAGAAGUCAAGAAACUUCUUAAAGAAAAGAUGGAAGUCAAGAAACUUCUCAAAGAAGACAAAGAAGUCAAGAUAUCAUCUAAAGAUGAGAAAGAAGUCAAGAAACCACUUAAAGAAAAGAUAGAAAUCAAGAAACCACUUAAAGAAAAGAUAGAAAUCAAGAAACCCCUCAAGGAAGACAAAGAAGUCAAGAAAUCUCUCAAAGAAGAGAAAGGAGUCAAGAAAUCAUCUAAAGACGAGAAAGAGGUCAAGAAACUUCUCAAAGAAGACAAGGAAGUCAAGAAACCAUCUAAAGACGAGAAAGAGGUAAAGAAACAUCUCAAAGAAGACACAGAAGUCAAGAAAUCUCUCAAAGAAGUCAAGAAACCCCACAAAGAAGAGAAAGAAGUCAAGAAACCUCUCAAAGAAGAGAAAGAAGUCAAGAAACCUCUCAAAGAAGAGAAAGAAGUCAAGAAAUCAUCUGAAGAAGACAAAGAAGUCAAGAAACCUCUUAAAGAAAAGAUAGAAGUCAAGAAACUUCUCAAAGAAGACAAAGAAGUCAAGAAACCCCUCAAAGAUGAGAAAGAAGUCAAGAAACCACUUAAAGAAAAGAUAGAAAUCAAGAAACCCCUCAAAGAAGACAAAAAAGUCAAGAAACCUCUCAAAGAAGAGAAAGAAGUCAAGAAACUUCUGAAAGAAGACAAAGAAGUCAAGAAAUCAUCUAAAGACGAGAAAGAAGUCAAGAAACUCCUCAAAGAAGAGAAAGACGUCAAGAAACCUCUCAAAAGACAAGAUGUCAAGAAACUUCUCAAAGAAGACAAAGAAGUCAAGAAAUCAUCUAAAGACGAGAAAGAGGUCAAGAAACCACUUAAAGAAAAGAUAGAAGUCAAGAAACUCCUCAAAGAAGUCAAGAAAUCAUCUAAAGAUGAGAAAGAGGUCAAGAAUCUUCUCAAAGAAGACACGGAAGUCAAGAAACCAUCUAAAGACGAGAAAGAGGUCAAGAAACCUCUCAAAGAAGAGAAAGAAGUCAAGAAAUCAUCUAAAGAUGAGAAAGAGGUCAAGAAUCUUCUCAAAGAAGAGAAAGAAGUCAAGAAAUCAUCCAAAGACAAGAAAGAGGUGAAGAAACAUCUCAAAGAAGACAAAGAAGUCAAGAAACCUCUCAAAGUAGAGAAAGAGGUCAGGAAACCUGUCAAAGAAGACAAAGAAGUCAAGAAACCUCUCAAAGAAGAGAAAGAAGUCAAAAAAACUCUCAAUGAAGAGAAAGAAAUCAAGAAACUUUUCAAAGACGAGAAAGAAGGCAAGAAACCCCUCAAAGAAGAGAAAGAAGUCAAGAAACCUCUCAAAGAAGAGAAAGAGGUCAAGAAACAUCUUAAAGAAGAUAAAGAAGUUAAGAAACUUUUUAAAGAAAAGAUAGAAGUCAAGAAACCCCUCAAAGAAGAGAAAGAAGUCAAGAAACCUCUUAAAGAGAUGAAACCGGCCAAAAAAGAUACAGGAGAGAGAGACCCUUCAAAAGACGAGAAAGACGAGAAGAAACCACUUGGGGAAGAAAGAGAAGACAAUAAACAUCAUAAAGAAGAGAAAGUAAUGAAAACAACUCUUAAAGAAGAGAAGAAACAAGAAAGGAAGUCUCUGGAAGAGAAAAAAGCACCCACAGAAGGGGUAGACUUGAAACCAUCUAAGGAAGAGAAACAAAUGAAAAAGCCUCAAGAGGAGAAAGUAGAAAAAGAGAUGAAGCCUAAAGAACUGAAGGAAGUAAGUAACUAUUCUAAGGAAAGGAAAGAAGAGAGGAAACCCUCUAGGGAGGAAAAGGAAAAAAGGGAGCCACCAAAGGCAGAGAAAGAAAUUAGGAAACCCUUAGAAGAAAAGAAAGAAGUAAAGCCUCCAACAAAAGAAAUUGAAGACAAGAAGCCUUCUGAGGAAGAGAAGGAAGUGAAAACGCCUCCUGUGAAGGAAAAAGAAGUUACGAAGCCUUCUAAAGAAGGGACAGAAAUGAAGAAGUCUGCUGUCGAGAUUUUUUUCUUUACGAAGACUAUAAAGGAAGGAAAAGAGCUGAAGAAACCGUCUGUGGAGGAAACAACUAACAAAAAGGAGAAAGAACUGUCUAAAGAAGAGAAAGAAUCAAUAAAGCCCAAAGAAGUAAAAGAGGUCAAAAAGCAUCUCAAAGAAGAGAAGGAUGAACUACUGCCUCCAAAAGAAGAAAGAGAACAAAGGAAGCCUUCAAAAGGAGAGAGAGAACCAGAAAAAACAUCUAAAGAGGUCAAAGAAGUUAAAAAUCUUAAGUUAAAAAAAAAGGAAAAGCCAGCAAGUCCUUCCAAAGAAAGAUCAGUACCAAAGAAGCCCUCUGAAGAAAAACAAGAACCAGAGAAACCUUUUAAAGACGAAAAAGAACCAACAACACUGUCUAGAAAGGAAGAAAAAGAAUCAAAGAAGCUCUUUAGAGAACAAGACCAAGAGAAACCUUCCAAAGAAAAGAAAGAGAUCAAGAUUAUUCUCAAAGAAGAAAAGGAACCAAAGAAGAUCUCUAAGGAAGACACGGAACAAACAAAGCCCUCUAAAGAGAAAGAAAUAAAGAGGGCUCAUAAAGACAAAGAACCUGUCAAGAAGAGAGAUACUAAGACAGACUCUGGACCCAAAAAGGCUGUAAGGAGGAUUAAAGUAGUCAAGAUGGAGGUUGCUUCUGUCCUGAAGAAGGAACAUCUUAAUGUUACAAAAGCAGCUGAUGAACCUAAGAAGGCCGUAAAGAGGUUGACAGCUGCGAAAAAGAUAGUUCCUGUCCUGAAAAAGGAAAACUUGAACAUUACAAAAACAGAGCUUCCUGAGGUUCCUAAGGUGAAAGCCAAACCAGAACCUGCAAAGAAAUUUGCAGCUCCAAAGGAGACCAAGAAGGAACCAAAGGAAAAACUCAAAUCUGUACCUGUUAAACCAGACUCUGGACCCAAAAAGGCUGUAAGGAGGAUUAAAGUAGUCAAGAUGGAGGUUGCUUCUGUCCUGAAGAAGGAACAUCUUAAUGUUACUAAAGCAGGUGAGAUUAUACAGUAUGAAGAAGAACAGGUCAAAGCGACUUUAUAUCCUUGUGGUUAGUAUUUAUAGAAUUUCACAGUGACACAUCUUACAUGUCAAAUGUGAAGCUACGAUGAGCUAAUUUAUUAUAUUUCUGAAUAUUCUCCAACAAUAGAGCUUCCUAGGUUCUUAAGGUGAAAGCCAAACCACAACCUGCAAAGAAAGGUAAGAGCAUGCUUUUAUACUUUUGUGUUAAAUAUCAACUAAAAGUUGACUCAAUCUGAUGAGUCUUUUUCCAAUUUAUAAUGAUACUAUUCAUGAAAGAAAAUAUACUUAGACUUUAUGCAUAUAUUUUGUUUGCUGACACUAACUUGUCAGAUUUAUUAAAAGAAAGCUUCACAUAAUAAACACUGAUCUUUUUAUAAACCUAAAACUUAAUGGCUUUUUGAUCUCAUAAUUUUCCACCAGUUGCAGCUCCAAAGGAGACCAAGAAGGAACCAAAGGAAAAAAUCCAACCUACACCUGUUAAACCAGGUAAUGCAAAGCCAUCAAUAGAGCCAUACAAUGAGUAUGGCUAAAAGAAAUACUGUGACCGUUUAUUUUUUAUGACUAUUAUAAUAUCUGUAAGCAUUAGCUGUACGAAUAAAUUAUAUUUCUGAAUAUUCUCCAACAAUAGAGCUUCCUGAGGUUCUUAAGGUGAAAGCCAAACCAGAACCUGCAAAG